UACACUCCUGCGGGAGGCAGCAGUGGGGAAUUUUGGACAAUGGGCGAAAGCCUGAUCCAGCAAUGCCGCGUGAGUGAAGAAGGCCUUCGGGUUGUAAAGCUCUUUUGUCAGGGAAGAAACGGUGAAAGCUAAUAUCUUUUGCUAAUGACGGUACCUGAAGAAUAAGCACCGGCUAACUACGUGCCAGCAGCCGCGGUAAUACGUAGGGUGCAAGCGUUAAUCGGAAUUACUGGGCGUAAAGCGUGCGCAGGCGGUUUUGUAAGUCUGAUGUGAAAUCCCCGGGCUCAACCUGGGAAUUGCAUUGGAGACUGCAAGGCUAGAAUCUGGCAGAGGGGGGUAGAAUUCCACGUGUAGCAGUGAAAUGCGUAGAUAUGUGGAGGAACACCGAUGGCGAAGGCAGCCCCCUGGGUCAAGAUUGACGCUCAUGCACGAAAGCGUGGGGAGCAAACAGGAUUAGAUACCCCGGUAGUCCCAUG
rnacentral:rRNA from 1 species